AGUGAACGCUGGCGGUAGGCCUAACACAUGCAAGUCGAACGGCAGCACAGUAAGAGCUUGCUCUUACGGGUGGCGAGUGGCGGACGGGUGAGGAAUACAUCGGAAUCUACUUUUUCGUGGGGGAUAACGUAGGGAAACUUACGCUAAUACCGCAUACGACCUACGUGUGAAAGCAGGGGAUCUUCGGACCUUGCGCGAUUGAAUGAGCCGAUGUCGGAUUAGCUAGUUGGCGGGGUAAAGGCCCACCAAGGCGACGAUCCGUAGCUGGUCUGAGAGGAUGAUCAGCCACACUGGAACUGAGACACGGUCCAGACUCCUACGGGAGGCAGCAGUGGGGAAUAUUGGGCAAUGGGCGCAAGCCUGAUCCAGCCAUACCGCGUGGGUGAAGAAGGCCUUCGGGUUGUAAAGCCCUUUUGUUGGGAGAGAAAAGCAGCAGGUUAAGACCCCGCUGUUCUGACGGUACCCAAAGAAUAAGCACCGGCUAACUUCGUG
rnacentral:rRNA from 1 species